ACCCUCCGCAAUGGGCAGGAACACCUUUUUGGUGGCAUUGUUCUUACAUCAAUCAGAGGCAAAGCAGAUGGCAGUCCUUUAUUCAUCCUAGCUUGAUGCCUGGCUUGAUGACCAAAACUGUCUUAUGCCUGGGAUUCAAAA